UAAAAACGUUUUCUUUCUUUAUUUUAACACUAUGAAAUGAAGUGGCAGUAGUAGUAGUGGGUAUCAUCAGUGGUCCCAAUUAGCAGAGUCCACGCUCAGGUGAACAAUGGUCCCCCUCAUCAGACAUGAAAUAUGCUCUCAAUUAAUCACAGGGAUACGUAACCUGAUCUGGGGUAUUUUCUCAUCUUUUUCUUGACCGCCGGGUCUAGAUAAUCCAAAGGCCUUGAUGUACCAUUGCCCUGUUGGAUGUCUGCUGACUAAUGUACCAGUAAAUGAUAAAAUAAGUAAGAGGGGGUGGCACAAGUCAAGUGGAACUUAAUUACCUCUGACAAGAGUUUUUGAGGGGGAAAAAAGGAUACCAGAUCACACACAUUGGGAUUGUGUGACAACAAUGACCAGCGCUCUAGAAGUAAAGCAAUCCCCCUCCAGAAAAACAUGUUUGCGUGUGACCGAGGCAAGUAAAAGGCGGUCUCCAGGGCCUUCCAUACAGCAAGCGUCCCAUGUUCCUCCUGGGGGUCCGAGCGCUGUGUGCAUCUGGAAGAGAUAUUUGGCUGAGCACCGAGCAGAGGAGCAGCCAACAAGAAGCAGGUCCAACAACAUGCCUCUCAGCACGAGCGGGAAGUCUAAUUUUCACAUCUGCUCAAGUUCCUGCUGAGUUGAGCAACUGCGGUGAGUAACCGGUGACUCAAAGAAGUGGCAGAAGUUCAGCACAGAAAGCUUAAAAGCUAUAUUUCUACUGUCAUGUUUCGAAUCCUGGCAAUGAGUAAUGAUGGGACAUCCUUUAAGAUCUUUGUCUUCAGCUAUGACCAUUUAAUAUAUUUUAAAAUGCAGUUUAUUCCAGUGAUCAAAGCUGAAUUUUCAGAAUGGUUACUCCAGUCUUCAGUGUCACAUGAUCCUUUAGAAAUCAAUCUUGUUUGCUGAAUUUGCUGCUCAAGAAACAUUUUUUUUUUUUUUUUUAUCCAUGUUGAAAACCAUUGUUCAGCGUAAUAUUUUUGUGUAAACGGUGAUACUUUUUUUCAGGAUUCUUUGAUAAAGUUCAAAAGAACAGCAGUUAUUUGAAAUAUAAAUCUUUUGAAACAUUAUUAAUGUCUUGGUGAUCAAUUUAAUGCAUUCUUGCUUAAUAAAAAUAUCAAUUUCUUUCCA
ensembl:lncRNA